rfam:Duganella sp. Leaf126 contig_15, whole genome shotgun sequence.
ACGUUGAUAGGCUGGGUGUGGAAGUGCAGUAAUGCAUUAAGCUAACCAGUACUAAUUGCCCGUACGGCUUGUCCCU